CACGUUGCGUGGUUUCCAUAGUAACCGUGCUAGUUAAAAGGCUAGCAGAAACAACAUUCUACAUGUUAAAUAAAUACAUCAUCUAAAACGAAACUUGACGAUUCGCGGUUUCUACGAUACUCGUGUGUACAGUAAACAUCGUGUGUAUUGUGAACAAUGCUGGAGACAAACGAUCAUAACUUUAUUGAAACUGAAGAAAAGGAAGAUUCUACGGAUUGUGAUGAAGAUCAGGCCUCAGAAGAGAUUCCACAGUCGUUACUCAGCUACUUUGAGAUUUCUCAAAGCAGAGCAGCAGUAUGUGAGCGACUUAUCCUCAAUGAGCUAGAAGCAUCUCAUUACACUGAGGGGCAGGAGAUGAAUAUCCCUAAUAAAGAUCUACAAACGCUGGAUGAGCAGAAUAAAAACGAGGAGAACCAGAAUGAUGACACCUUCUUAAAUAAGCAUCCCAACACUGAAGAUGAUGGUGCACUGGAUGAAAGCUUAAAGGAGAAAUACAUUCAUGAUUUAGUGAAGUGUAAAAACAACCAGGAGGAGAAGCAAAGGAAACGGAGAGAAAUUCACUUUCAAGAAGAUCUGCAAAAGAUAAUGACAUCAGAGAAGCAUAAUCAGGUGGAACUCGAGCUGAACAAAAGGAGAGAUUAUGAGAAACUUGAGCAUGAGUUACAGCUUCAGCAGGAAAACAUCAAUAACCGACAAAAACAAGUUGAAGACAUUAAAAGGAUGAUCGAAGUGGAGCAAAAAAGACAACAGGAAAUAGAUGAGAGGAAAAUGGUGGAAAGGGAAGAAAGGAAGAGGAAGAAGGAAGAGAAAAGGCGUCAAGAGAGAUUGAUUAAGGAAGAAAAAAAGAGAAAAAUGAAAGAGAGGAAGCUGAAAGAGGAGGAAAAAGAGGAAAGAAGAAGAGGAGGAGAUGAGGAAGAAAGAGGAGGAAGAGAAAAGGAAAAGUGAGGAGGAAAAUAGAUUGCGAGAGGAAAUGGCGAAAGAGGAGUUGAAGCGGAAAAAAGAUGAAGAAUUAAAGGAAGAAGAGAGGAAAACUGGCAGAAGAAAUAAAGAGGAAGAAGAAGAAAGAAAAGAGAACCA
rnacentral:lncRNA from 1 species